ensembl:lncRNA
CCCUGGCUAGAGAUGAUUACACACACACACACACUUAGAGGGUGUGUAUAAACAGGGCCGGCGCUCCGCACACGCACAUCACGCACUGCGCGUAGGGCACCAAGUGCUUGGGGGGGCACCAAAAAAUCUGGGUCGUGAAAAAAUCAUCACAAUAGGCUACUAGUAUAAAUAACAAAUAAAAUAUUUCUAAAAAGCAUGUUAAUAUACAAAAGCAAUACAAAAGUAAUAUAGGCCUAGACCAAAUUAGUCGAGAAAAAGGUGAAUCUCUGUGCCAGUCUCCCUCUGGUGCUCCCCCUUCCCCACCUCCCAGUGGUCUGUGCGAUUAUGCCUCAAUCAAUGUCAAAUUUGGCAGACACCUACCUCAGACAUGGCCUCGAAAAGGCACCAAGAGUCGGGGGCGGAAAAAAGAAAAAAGAAGAGACAGCGGGAUGAUGCUCGCGCGUCGCUUGCAGUCUUGGCAGGUGCUGGUUUCAGCAGUGUUGUAGCACAGUAUGUGAGCAUCUCUGGGUCACUGCAUUCAGCGCUGGAGAAGAACUGGAAUGAGGGAUUAUGAAGAACUGUUAGUGCUCAUCCAUCCAUUCCCUCCCUCAGGACAUGCACAUUAGAAAGACCUAAGAAAAUCAAACAGCCCCAGGCUCUGGCUCUCAUAAGCCUGAAUCCCAGAGGUCUUUAAAGAAGGAAGAUGUAUGGAUGAAGAAGACAGUGAGAUGGGGAAGUCAAUACUGAGAAUUCAAUGGAAAGUUUACACUAUUUAGUCUGGAGAGAAGCGAUACCUGCAGUUUACAGCUCAUUCUGGGAUUGAAGGGUCACACAUUGUGCAAGAUUGGGCAAAAUACAGACUUCAAAUUCAAACUGUCAAAAAUGCGAAUUCAAACAGUUACAUAAUAGAAGAAUUGAAUUAGUCAAACAAACUAAAAUUAGUAACAUAUUAUACGGUUUCUAUAUUAUACGUGAUAUAUGUUAUAUAUUAUAUCUGAAAUUAGCAUUAUGUAAAACACACAUUAUGCCUAAAUUCACACACACACUGCUGUAUUUAAAAGAUUGCAGUAGCUAAGAUUCUAUAAUAUUUUGUAAAGACGUGUCUUAUGCUCACCAAAGCAGCAUUGAUGAAAAAUACAGUAAAAACAGUAAUAUUGUGAAAUAUUAUUAUAAUUUAAAAGGCUGUUUUCUAAUUUAAUAUAUUAAUAAAAUGUAAUUUAUUCCUGUGAUGUAAAGUUGAAGUAUUAGCAUCAUUACUCCAGUCUUCAGUGUCACAUGAUACUACAGAAAUCAUUAUAAUAUGCUGAUUUGCUGCUCAAGAACUAAUGUUUCUAAAUAUGUUGCAUGUAUAAACAUGUUAAUGAGUAAUUCAUACUGAAAAUUAAAAACUUACAGUGGUUAUAUGAAUUUCUUUGGAUUUCAUUAAAUUUGAAUUCUUGUUCCUUAAAUUCUAACUCAAGAAUAGAAUUAAAAGGCAGUUCUCGCUGUGAUUCUGGUGCACAAAGCUGCUGCAGCCUUUCCUGAUCCCACAACCUUUAGUGAUAAGAACGUGUCUGAGAGUGAAAACACGUGUGCAGCGUUACACAAUGGUGAUCAACAAGACACAGGGAUUGUAAAGUCCACGGUGUGAGUGGAAUCUCCUUUGCUCAGAAAUGUUUGUGUCAACUUGUAAGCCUGUGAUGUAACUCUGUGUGUACUAGAAAACAUACUGUUCACCAAGAGUGAUAUAUUCCGACAGGACUUGCGUGUGUGUUUGUGUGUGUGUGUGUGUGUGUGUGUGUGUGUGUGUGUGUGUGUGUGUGUGUGUGUUAAGGUGGUCAAGACAGAUCGUGUGGCAGCUUGAGCACAAUCGCACACACACAUACGCACACACACUGCUUCAGGCCAAACAGAAUGUGGCACACCGGCAUCAGAUUAAGACCUGAGAUUCAUGCCCUUUAAAUCCUGCACUGUCAAAAUUUCAGCAAGGGAGAUCUGAAGAGAGCCGUUACAUAACACACUGAACAUACAGCUGACACCAGCUCUGUUCAAAAUCCCAGUGAGCUGCCUGAUUGUCUGCUGUCUACAUAGACUGUUACCCUCUUAGGGGCCAUUCACACAGCACGCCUUUUUUGCAUCUAAAACAAUAAAACAAAGCACAACUGAAUUGAGUAGAAAGUAAACUCUGCAUAGGCAACCGCAAGCUUUAGCAAGCUAGUUGUGAGAAUAAGCAUUGUCAUUCAAAGAACAUGCAAAUGUUGAAUAAAUCAUUCCAUUUUAUUUGAUACUUUUCAGGAUUCAGUGAUUCAUUUUGGUCGAUGUUCCUCGAAGUAAAAAGAAGCUAGGGAUCUUUAUCAUGUUGUUUACACACCCUGCUAAUUAUAUUAGUCUCUAAAUAAAUGGCACCUCUUUGUAUCACAGCCUGAAUACAGCACACCCUACAGGUGUGUCCCUGAACUGCAAUCACAGGUGGUCUGUGCUUUACACUGAGAGAACUAUCACACUACUCUUAUUCUGCAGCAAGCUUCUUUUUUUUCAUUUAAGUAGGACUUAAACAUUUGUAUAUUAAUUUUACUGUAGCAUAUUGUUUUUGAAACGGUUAAAAUGUAGGCCUACUGCUGAAUGCACAGACAAAUGUAGCCUUUAUGAUAAACUAAAGUAUGCUUUGAUAUUAUUUCUCAUAAAUGUCAUGUAUUUAAAUAGAUUUGUAAUGUACAGUAAAUGUGUAAAGAUGAGAGCGUGUUCUCCGUAAGUUCACUUAAGUGGCCUCUUAUUUCAUGAAUGUUAUAUCAUCUGCAAGUUCAGUUUUUAAAAAUAUACUUUUAAUAUUUGAAGUACAUUACAAGUACACUAUGCCACAGAUUCAGUUCUUGAUUAAAGGGCUCAGACAGCCCAAAUCCUGCUGCAGUUUGCAUACUGGCUUCAGAGGACAGUAAUUGAUAUUGACAACCAAAAUGCGAGUGUCUGUCAUCCCAGCGCAUCUGAGAUUGCCUUUCUGUCACGUGUGUCACAUUCCCACCUGUGUCAGUAAUUCUCACAUUCACUCCAAACAGUUGUGUUCUCAAUCCGGCCAAUCAGCUGUACUCACACUCACU